rnacentral:rRNA from 1 species
CACGCAGGCGGUCUGCCAAGUUCGGGGUGACAGUUUCCGGCUCAACCGGGAAAGGACUUUGAAAACUGGUAGACUUGAGAGCGAGAGAGGAACAUGGAACUCCAGGUGUAGUAGUGAAAUGCGUAGAUAUCUGGAAGAACACCAAAGGCGUAGGCAAUGUUCUGGCUCGUUUCUGACGCUCAGGUGCGAAAGCCAGGGGAGCGAACG